UUGCUUCCGCAGCACAUAUAUUAAAAUUGGAAUGAUACAGAGAAGACUAGCAUGACCCCUGUGCAAGGAUGACACACAAAUUCGCAAAGCAUUCCGUAUUUAA